UACGUAGGGUGCGAGCGUUAAUCGGAAUUACUGGGCGUAAAGCGUGCGCAGGCGGUUCGACAAGUCUGAUGUGAAAGCCCCGGGCUCAGCCUGGGAAUGGCAUUGGAAACUGGCGAGCUAGAGUGUGGCAGAGGGGGGUGGAAUUCCGCGUGUAGCAGUGAAAUGCGUAGAGAUGCGGAGGAACACCGAUGGCGAAGGCAGCCCCCUGGGCUUUCACUGACGCUCAGGCACGAAAGCGUGGGGAGCAAACAGG
rnacentral:rRNA from 1 species